rnacentral:rRNA from 1 species
CCAAAAAGCGGAGGAAAAGAAACCAACAGGGAUUGCCUUAGUAGCGGCGAGUGAAGCGGCAAAAGCUCAAAUUUGAAAUCUGGCACUUUCAGUGUCCGAGUUGUAAUUUGAAGAAGGUAUCUUUGGGUCUGGCUCUUGUCUAUGUUUCUUGGAACAGAACGUCACAGAGGGUGAGAAUCCCGUGCGAUGAGAUGUCCCAGACCUAUGUAAAGUUCCUUCGAAGAGUCGAGUUGUUUGGGAAUGCAGCUCUAAGUGGGUGGUAAAUUCCAUCUAAAGCUAAAUAUUGGCGAGAGACCGAUAGCGAACAAGUACAGUGAUGGAAAGAUGAAAAGAACUUUGAAAAGAGAGUGAAAAAGUACGUGAAAUUGUUGAAAGGGAAGGGCUUGAGAUCAGACUUGGUAUUUUGUAUGUUACUCUCUCGGGGGUGGCCUCUACAGUUUACCGGGCCAGCAUCAGUUUGAGCGGUAGGAUAAGUGCAAAGAAAUGUGGCACUGCUUCGGUAGUGUGUUAUAGUCUUUGUCGAUACUGCCAGCUUAGACUGAGGACUGCGGCUUCGGCCUAGGAUGUUGGCAUAAUGAUCUUAAGUCGCCCGUCUUGAAACAACGGACCA